rnacentral:rRNA from 1 species
AGUAACGAUAAAGCGGGUGAAAAGCCCGCUCGCCGGAAGACCAAGGGUUCCUGUCCAACGUUAAUCGGGGCAGGGUGAGUCGACCCCUAAGGCGAGGCCGAAAGGCGUAGUCGAUGGGAAACAGGUUAAUAUUCCUGUACUUGGUGUUACUGCGAAGGGGGGACGGAGAAGGCUAUGUUGGCCGGGCGACGGUUGUCCCGGUUUAAGCGUGUAGGCUGGUUUUCCAGGCAAAUCCGGAAAAUCAAGGCUGAGGCGUGAUGACGAGGCACUGCGGUGCUGAAGCAACAAAUGCCCUGCUUCCAGGAAAAGCCUCUAAGCAUCAGGUAACAUCAAAUCGUACCCCAAACCGACACAGGUGGUCAGGUAGAGAAUACCAAGGCGCUUGAGAGAACUCGGGUGAAGGAACUAGGCAAAAUGGUGCCGUAACUUCGGGAGAAGGCACGCUGAUAUGUAGGUGAAGUCCCUCGCGGAUGGAGCUGAAAUCAGUCGAAGAUACCAGCUGGCUGCAACUGUUUAUUAAAAACACAGCACUGUGCAAACACGAAAGUGGACGUAUACGGUGUGACGCCUGCCCGGUGC